AUACCUUUCUCGGCCUUUUGGCUAAGAUCAAGUGUAGUAUCUGUUCUUAUCAGUUUAAUAUCUGAUAUGUGGUCCAUUCGACCACACGAUAUUAAAUUAAUUUCUUGAGGGGAGAGUCCAUUACAAUAGCUUGCUAUUGGGUUUCUCUUGUGUCGCCUUUGUGUUACACUACUGCAUUGGCUGGCGCACUCCAC
rnacentral:snRNA from 1 species